CACCGCCCGUCACGUCAUGGGAGUCGGUAGCACCUGAAGCCGCCACGCCAACCCUUGUGGAGGCAGGCGUCGAAGGUGAGGCUGGCGACUGGGACG
rnacentral:rRNA from 1 species